rnacentral:tRNA from 1 species
GGAGUGGUAGCUCAGCUGGUUAGAGCGCCUGCCUGUCACGCAGGAGGUCGCGGGUUCAAGUCCCGUCCAUUCCGCCA